UACGUAGGGGGCUAGCGUUGUCCGGAAUCAUUGGGCGUAAAGAGCUCGUAGGCGGUUCGUCGCGUCGGCUGUGAAAUCCCGAGGCUCAACCUCGGGUCUGCAGUCGAUACGGGCGGACUGGAGUUCGGCAGGGGAGACUGGAAUUCCUGGUGUAGCGGUGAAAUGCGCAGAUAUCAGGAGGAACACCGGGAGCGAAGGCGGCCCUCUGGCUCGACCCUGACGCUGAGGCGCGAAAGCGUGGGGAGCGAACAGG
rnacentral:rRNA from 1 species